rnacentral:rRNA from 1 species
AUACGGAAGGUCCGGGCGUUAUCCGGAUUUAUUGGGUUUAAAGGGAGCGCAGGCCGUAGAUUAAGCGUGACGUGAAAUGCCGCGGCUCAACCGUGGAAGUGCGUCGCGAACUGGUUUACUUGAGUGGGUUCGACGCCGGCGGAAUUCGUGGUGUAGCGGUGAAAUGCUUAGAUAUCACGAAGAACCCCGAUUGCGAAGGCAGCCGGCGAGGCCUUUACUGACGCUAAAGCUCGAAGGUGCGGGUAUCGAACAGGAUUAGAUACCCUGGUAGUCCGCACGGUAAACGAUGGAUGCCCGCUGUCGGCGAUAUAAUGUCGGUGGCCAAGCGAAAGCGUUAAGCAUCCCACCUGGGGAGUACGCCGGCAACGGUGAAACUUAAAGGAAUUGACGGGG